UCGGGAAACUUUUGCAAUGCGCGCAAGCGUGACAAAGCAAGCCAGAGUGUUUCUCUUUUAUGAGAAACUUUUGCCAGCUGCAAAAAGGCUGGCGAAUAAGGACUGGGCAAGACCGGUGCCAGCCGCCGCGGUAAUCCCGGCGGUCCAAGUCGCAGCCACAUUUAUUGGGUCUAAAACAUCCGUAGCUUGCUUUGCAAGUCUCUUGUGAAAUCUUAUAUCUUAAGUAUAAGGCGUGCAAGAGAUACUGUAUUGCUAGAGACCGGAAGACGUAACGAGUACAUCCAAGGUAGUGGUAAAAUACGUUAAUCUUGGGUGGACUAACAAUGGCGAAGGCACGUUACGAGGACGGAUCUGACAGUGAGGGAUGAAGGCUAGGGGCGCAAAAUGG
rnacentral:rRNA from 1 species